CAGCAGCAGCCCGCCGCCG
rnacentral:misc_RNA from 1 species